rnacentral:pre_miRNA from 1 species
UAUAUACUCCCUCCGUCCCAAAAUUCUUGUCUUAGAUUUGUCUAAAUACGGAUGUAUCAUGUCACGUUUUAGUAUUAGAUACAUCCGUAUCUAGACAAAUCUAAGACAAGAAUUUUGGGACGGAGGGAGUACUUG